rfam:Triticum aestivum genome assembly, contig: Triticum_aestivum_CS42_TGACv1_scaffold_491381_6AS
CUAAUACUCCCUCCGUUCCAAAUUACUUGUCGUAGAAAUCAAUGUAUCUAGAACUAAAAUACAUCUAGAUAUAUCCAUACUUGUGACAAGUAAUUCAAAACGGAGGAAGUAGAAC